rnacentral:rRNA from 1 species
AUUGAACGCUGGCGGCAGGCCUAACACAUGCAAGUCGAGCGAGCGGGGGACGGGUGUGUAAUGUCUGUGAGACUACCUGCUGUAGGGGGGUAACUCCUGGAAACAGUAUCUAAUACCGCGUACCAUCUCAUGUGACCAGAUGGGAGUGGCUAGUCGGUGGGGUAACGGCUCACCUAGGCGACGAUCCAUAGCUGGUAUGAGAGGAUGACCAGCCACACUGGAACUGAGACACGGUCCAGACUCCUACGGGAGGCAGCAGUGGGGAAUAUUGCACAAUGGGCGCAAGCCUGAUGCAGCCAUGCCGCGUGUGUGAAGAAGGCCUUCGGGUUGUAAAGCACUUUCAGCGGGGAGGCGUUACCCGCAGAAGAAGCACCGGCUAACUCCGUGCCAGCAGCCGCGGUAAUUC